UCUCUGUCAAGAGACUUUAUGUACCCCUGAGCGUGUUAAUCUGUCUUUUGUAAGGUGAAAGGGAAAAAUGAGUAUUUGAUUUUGUUCUAGGUAUCAUCAUGUUGGUUGGCUGGUUACUAGGGAAAGACAUUCUGGAAAUGUUCACUAUUAGUGUAAGUUUGGCUGUAGCUGCAAUUCCUGAAGGUCUGCCUAUUGUGGUCACAGUGACACUAGCCCUUGGUGUUAUGAGAAUGGUGAAGAAAAGGGCUAUUGUAAAGAAAUUGCCUAUUGUUGAAACGCUGGGCUGCUGUAAUGUGAUUUGUUCAGAUAAAACUGGAACCCUGACGAAGAAUGAGAUGACUGUUACUCACAUCCUCACUUCAGACGGCCUGCAUG
rnacentral:lncRNA from 1 species